GAUGAACGCUGGCGGCGUGCCUAAUACAUGCCAGUCGAGCGAACAGACGAGGAGCUUGCUCCUCUGACGUUAGCGGCGGACGGGUGAGUAACACGUGGAUAACCUACCUAUAAGACUGGGAUAACUUCGGGAAACCGGAGCUACUACCGGAUAAUAUAUUGAACCGCAUGGUUCAAUAGUGAAAGACGCUUUUGCUGUCACUUAUAGAUGGAUCCGCGCCGCAUUAGCUAGUUGGUAAGGUAACGGCUUACCAAGGCAACGAUGCGUAGCCGACCUGAGAGGGUGAUCGGCCACACUGGAACUGAGACACGGUCCAGACUCCUACGGGAGGCAGCAGUAGGGAAUCUUCCGCAAUGGGCGAAAGCCUGACGGAGCAACGCCGCGUGAGUGAUGAAGGUCUUCGGAUCGUAAAGCUCUGUUAUUAGGGAAGAACAAAUGCGUAAGUAACUAUGCACGUCUUGACGGUACCUAAUCAGAAAGCCACGGCUAACUACGUG
rnacentral:rRNA from 1 species